rnacentral:misc_RNA from 1 species
GAUGAAGAACGCAGCGAAAUGCGAUAAGUAAUGUGAAUUGCAGAACUCAGUGAAUCAUCGAAUCUUUGAACGCACAUUGCGCCCCCUGGUAUUCCGGGGGGCAUGCCUGUCCGAGCGUCAUUGCUGCCCUCAAGCACGGCUUGUGUGUUGGGCCUCCGUCCUCCUCCCGGGGGACGGGCCCGAAAGGCAGCGGCGGCACCGCGUCCGGUCCUCGAGCGUAUGGGGCUUCGUCACCCGCUCUUGUAGGCCCGGCCGGCGCUUGCCGACACAUCAAUCUUUUUUCCAGGUUGACCUCGGAUCAGGUAGGGAUACCCGCUGAACUUAAGAAUAUCAAUAAGCGGAGGA